CCUAGAACACCCAUACAUUGCUGUUCUCCCGUUUUUGGGACUAUUUCCCUGUCCUCUACUUGAAGAGCAUGCCAGCCAUCCACAUUUUGGGGGAAGAAUUUGCAUUAACUCCCUCAUGGCCUAUGGUUCUGACGGGGAGGGUGUGUGGCACAGCUGCUGGGGGUGUGCAGCCACAACUCCUGGGGACUUGCUGGUGUAAGUGAUGACUGAAUUUUUUCCCCAUCAGAGCGACAGUGUUGAUUACUUGCUGUUCAAGCCAGAUCUUGUCUGAUGCACCAGCAGGGAAUGGCUGCUGUGUCCCACAUCCUGGUGUUAACAAAUGCCCAAAAUAAUGAAAUCAGGGCCCUGGUGCUGAUGGUUUUUGGCUUUACUCCCAGGGCACUGAAGGAAAAAGUGGGGAGUUGAGCCUUGGGGAGACCUGAAGUUCAGGCUGCAGCUGACAGUGAAGAGGUGUGUGAUGUGGGCAGUUGUCCGGUUUGCUCUACCGUGCCUGAAUCUCUAGCAAAUAAUGGGCACUGUGAAGGCAGAGGUGGGGAGUUGAGCCUUGGGGAGACCUGAAGUUCAGGCUGCAGCUGACAAUGAAGAGAUGUGGAUGAGGACAUUGUCUGGUUUGCUCCACCAUGUGUGCCCCUUUGUCAGGGGAGAAUGGUUGAGAUUUACAAAAAGUUGUCCUGGGUCCUGCUGGAGUUUGAGUGUUCUGCUUAAGAAGAUGGAUGGUUCUGCUGCUCCCAUGCAGCUGUCUGGGAUCCUCAUUCAAGCCACAGCAUUCCCAUACCCUGCAAUAGUUCUGACCUCUCAAAGCCGUCAGGAGUGACGAGUUUGUGUCCUGCCAGCUUAGAGGGUGCUACAAUUUCUGUCCCCUGGGUACAAAGCAUGUAACUGGAAUGGAUUGUGGAACUUGCCGUGUGUUUAAUGCAGUUGGAUACUUUUGUGGGCAGGGGCUGCGUUCCCUGCCUGGCGCAGAUCAUGCCAUAGCAUGCAAGGCAAGGAAGCCUUUCCUGAGCUACUGGGAGGCUGGAUGGCCUUGUGUGUAAGGAGGGGCGUCAGGGCUUGGUUCUCCCCUGCCAUCCAGAAAGCUGCAGUGCUGUAUCCCUGGCAGCUUGUGAAGCGGGCAAGGUGUGUCGGGUGCUGCAGCCCAGUGUGUUUCUGUACUGUUAGAAGCCUGGUUUUAAUAAAAUCUUGAGUAAUGGGUUGGUUUGGCUGGUA
ensembl:lncRNA